UUUGAAUUUGAUAAGUAAAAAAAAGUGAUUGGAGUGCCUCGAUCUGCUCAAAAAAGUGAUACUAGAAUUUUAUUUUAUUUGUGCAACUUUUUUUGUUAGUUGAAUUGAAUUGUUAGUUUUUAUAACUUGCACUUAAAUUUGCAGGUCCGUUUGAAUCUAGAAAAGCAAAAAAAGUGUUUGAAGUGGCUCAAGGUGCUAAGGAAACUGAAACUAGUAUGUAUUUUCUUUUAUGUAAUAUUUUCUUGUUGUUACUUGUAAAGCAGUCAAAAAAUUAUCUUGCCUUGCUUCCAUCUGCAAUAGAUAUGUUAGCAUAUGAUAGCAUCUUUCCAUAGUCAUUCUUGAUCAUUUGAGUUAAUUUUCAAGUUAAUUGAUGGCUCCAGUUUGCGUCAUUUCUUAGAGGAAAGUGGUAGGCCCAAAUAUCUUAUAGGAAAAGUAUCCAUUGUGAAACCCAUAAUAUUUAAAUUAGAAGGAGUUCCAUAAGCAGUGUUCCUGCAAUAAACAUAUUGUAAGCUUAACUUUUUACACAUUGGAUGAAAUCUGAAGUCUGGUAAGCCCCUCAUAAUCUUCAAGACCGUAGUUAAGAACUCCAUAACCAAUAUAAAUAGCAGGGGAGACAUGGGGUCCCCUUCUCGUAUUCCUCGUUUUUCCUCGAAUAACCAUUUUCUACCCCAUUCACCAUAACAAAAUACAUGGGAGGUGUUACAUAUCAUAAUCAACUUCACAAAGCCAUCUGGAAACCCAUAACCAAGUAUAGCUUCCUCGAAAAUUUCUAACUCAGCAUGUCAUAUGCUUUUUGGAGAUCAAUCUUCAUCAAACAUCUGAGACUGGUUUUCCUAUUGUAAUGCCUUCAUAAGUCAUGAUAUAUUAAGACAUUGUGGACCGUAGAUCUCCAUUGAACAAAAGUUGAUUGAUUCUCCGCUACCAAGUAACUUACAACAUAUUUUAGUUUUUGACAAAUCAGUUUGACUUUAUAUAUCACAAUACAACACGAGAUAGGUCUGCACUGACUAGCAUUUUCAGGAACAAGGACAUUCGAGAUAAGGGUAAUAUUAAUAACAUUUAUCCGUUUUAGUAACUGACCAUUCCGGAAGAAAUCCAACAGUUCUUUAGCAACAUCUUUCCCAUGAUAUCCCAAGCUUCUCUGUAGAAAUCACUACCAUAGCCAUCAGGACUAGGAUUGCUUUUCUUAUCAAUACUACACACAACUUUCCUAACAUCCUUUGCAUUAAGAAGUUUCAAUAUUUCCAGUUGUUGUUCAAUAGCUUGCUUCAAUUGUGUCUGUUUAAUAACUGGGUAAAAAUACCUUGUGUUUGCAUCUCCAAGCCUGAUCCAGUUUGCCUGACUUCUCUGUAGUAGGAACAUCUCUGCUAAGUUAGAAGCUUGUUUGAAUUAUACCAGUUUUUUGUUGCGACUAUUGUCAGUAUUAUUAUCCUGAGUGCUAUUCAAUUUAUUCUUCUUUUCAUUGACUACUACUUCCUUGUGAUUCUAUGUUGUGCAUUUUUCCUUUGAGAUUAUGUCACUAUUGUUAUGGGCUAUUUCACCUACACCACUGCUUUUAUUUGCUUUAUUUAAUUUCCUUUGUAUCCUUCUUGUUAGUAAUGGGAGUGAACUUCUUAUUUCAAUUGACUUGCAUCAAAAUUUACAGGUCUGUUUGAAUUUGACAAGGCUAAAAAAGUGACUGAAGUGUCUCGGCAAGAUCAAAGAAGUGAUACUACUAUUUUAUUUUAUUUUAUUUGUGUAACUUUUUUUAGUAAGCUGAAUUGAUUUCUUGGGCAUUUUGACUUACAGUUAGUUUUGCAGGUUUGUUUGAAUCUAGAAAAGCAAAAAAAGUGGUUGAAGUGGUACAAGAUGCAGAGGGAAUUGAAACUAGUAUGUAUUGUCUUCUAUGUAUUUUCUAAUAGUUUCUGCAUUGUUACCUAUAAAGCAGCUAAAGCAUUAUCUUGCUUCGCUUCCAUAGGCCUUGAGAAUCUAAGAGUAACAAGACUUCACUGUGAAAAGACCAAAAUUGUUUCCCCUUCCAUUUCAAGCUAUCCUCAUUGUUAAUAAGAUCUUUAAAAGAAGUUAGGAGACCACAAAUUCUAUAGAACUCUCCUUAUCCCAGUCAUUUAUAUUCAAGUAUGUUCCAGUUGUCUCAUUCUUCACUUUGUGCUACAGUGGGAUUGAACUUCUUGUUUGGUUUUCCUUACUAUAGAUUUUGCAGGUCCAUGUGAAACAGAAAGGGCAAAGAAUGUGAGGGGAACAAAUAUUUGUAAGAAUGUUUU
rnacentral:lncRNA from 1 species